GUGCAGCAGUCGAGAAUCGUUCACAAUGGGCGCAAGCCUGAUGGCGCGACGCCGCGUGUGGGAUGGAGGCCUUCGGGUUGUAAACCACUGUCACAGGGGAAGAAAGGCACGGAUGCUAACAUCGUCCGUGUUUGACGUUACCCCUGAGAGGAAGCCACGGCUAACUCCGUGCCAGCAGCCGCGGUAAUACGGGGGGAGCAAGCGUUGUCCGGAAUUAUUGGGCGUAAAGGGCGUGUAGGCGGCGAGGUAAGUCGAAUGU
rnacentral:rRNA from 1 species